GACGAGCGCUGGCGGCGUGCUUAACACAUGCAAGUCGAACGCUGAACCCGCUUCGGUGGGGGAUGAGUGGCGAACGGGUGAGUAACACGUGGGCAACCUGCCCCCGGCUCUGGGAUAACUCCAAGAAAUUGGGGCUAAUACCGGAUGUGACCGCUGGCCGCAUGGUCUGGUGGUGGAAAGGGUUUCCGGCUGGGGAUGGGCCCGCGGCCUAUCAGCUUGUUGGUGGGGUAGUGGCCUACCAAGGCGACGACGGGUAGCCGGCCUGAGAGGGUGACCGGCCACACUGGGACUGAGACACGGCCCAGACUCCUACGGGAGGCAGCAGUGGGGAAUAUUGCGCAAUGGGCGGAAGCCUGACGCAGCGACGCCGCGUGGGGGAUGACGGCCUUCGGGUUGUAAACCUCUUUCAGCAGGGACGAAGCGCAAGUGACGGUACCUGCAGAAGAAGCACCGGCCAACUACGUG
rnacentral:rRNA from 1 species